UUAUGAUGGAAAAUAUGCCUUAAUGUCUAAACAAUCUAGACUUGGCACUCAAUUUGACAUGCUCCUAUGAACUUCACAUGUUGGUGCUCAUGGGUCCUUUUAGAUGGAAGUGACUAGUAAUUACAGAGGUUGGUUAGUACACUUUAUUAGUACUUACAACUAUUAUACCCUUUGUUGUUUGUGCAUUUACACAUUUGACAUUGUAUAUAAAAAAACUCAAAUCAGUUUCUAAAUUGUAGCUAAUUUUGUGAAGGAAUAUUAUUUGUUUUUUCUUCUUCAACAUUUUCACUCUCCCUUUGUCUCUGUUCUCUGUUCUAGAGCUUAUGUCCUCUGUGAUGCCUCAGCCACAACAGAGGGAGGAAGGGGAGGAGGAAGAUGAAGAGCAAGGGGAGAAGUUCGGGUUUGUCGACAGUGCUGAUGAAGAGAAAGAGCCAGCGGAUUGUAAAGACCCUGUCUCACACUCUGUAAAAGCCAGUCAAAAAUCAAACCAGUCAUUUAAGGAGGCUACAAACCCACCACAGGACAACACACUAACACCCACUGCACACUCACAACAGCACCUCAAUGCAAUGCCCCCUGCUGGUCAGGAGGAGGCUCCCUCCCAGGGACAAUACUCCACAGCCUCUCCAGAUGUUCCAGUUAGCGACCCACGCAGGCGGGUCUCUGGCCCCGUUGAGCUGGUUGAGCCCAGUGACGGAGCACCCUCCGUGGGAGAGCAGGCCCAGGGAGGUUCUGGUCCUGGAGAGGCGUUACCUGUGGAGAAGCAGACUGACUGGGAGGACCAUAGUGUGGAGAUACCCAAGGAGAGCUCAAGUCUGAGGGAACACUCUGAAGGUACACAACAGCAUAGUACAGAGAUACAUGAAACAUGAUAUAGACAGACAUGAGCAAGCUCACAUCAAUUACAGUAUAGCAUUCAUAACCUUCACCACAAGGCUUGUUGUUGGUAGCAUAGCAUGUUUGUUGACAUUGUUUUACAGUAAAAACUGUAUUGGCCUGUAAUCUUCUGUAACCUUCAUGGAGGGCAACAGCUAAUACAUAGUCUCUCCCUCCUAUCAUUUGAUUUACACAUAGACAUGAAUUAAAUUAAUUCAGGAUGAGAAUCAAUAGUGGACUAUUAGUCUAUUUCCACCAAGGGAAAUUGCUCUUGGAAUUUGAUUCAGUCAGCAAUGCUGACAUUAGGCUUUUUGAAGGUGGUCCACUCAAAGACUGUAUGGAGCCUGACUAAUCCACACCUUUCUCCAUUAUUUCACCUUUCUCAUUAGUUCUCUUUCACAUAUGUCCUUUACUGUUUUUGUCAAUAUUGUUUAUAAUGAUCAUUUUGGUGUUUUUUAUCAUGCAUGGACAGUAUGUCAAAAUUGUAGUGGACCUCAAUUUUCUGAUACGCUACUGUGUUAUUAUUGUGACAUAAUUGGCAUGAGUGGUUGUGUUUUCAAUGUGUUAAAUACUGGCACUUUUAUGGGAUUAAUGAACUAUUUCCUGUUAAUAGCCAACAACCAAUAGCACUAUCCCUCUAGGACUAAAAGACUCCUUAACAGCUUCUACCCCCAAGCCAUAAGACUGCUGAACAAUUAGUAAAAUGGCCACCAGACACUCCCCUAAGUCUUGGGUCUUAAUCCCAAGACUACCCUAAUUCUAUGAUUUUACAAAUUUGACUUUGAACACAUUCAUCGAAGACGAACUGAAGAAAGCAACGUUAUACUGUGCUAAAAAGUUAUUCAGCAAACCAAGGUAAAACCUGCCUGAGUUGUCGCCUUCUGGGAUUGCUGGGGGAGCUUGAAGAAACACACCCAGGCUGUUUGAAACAUUGAGAGUUCCCAGAGGACUGAGUCAGUUACUUACCAGAUCUACAGAUAGUCAGGUUGGUGGCCAAGAUACAGUUAUUCCCUUUUCAUUCAGUACACAUUCUUCACAGAGAGUGUUGCUCAGUUAGUCACUAUUGUAGUAGAAUAACACUGUGUCUCUCUCUUGGAUUGUGUCCCAGGUUAUUUAGAUCCUUAAAGCAAUGUCGGCUAAUCCAUGUCAGAAUCUACAUCUCUCAUCAGAUUCAUUGAAUCCAGGGAUUGUUUGGGGCUUAUAAAGAACCGUUCCAGACAAAUCACAAUUUAAAAGCGAAUCAAUAAAUCCCCUAAACUAAAUUAGACUGAAACACUCUCAAAGCAGUUAAUGACUAAUUCUGCGGACUGUGGAGAUAGAUAGGUUCGAUCCAUUACAAACAAGGUGGAUCAUGCUGCCACAAUUCCACAGCACAAUCCCACACUCUUAAAACCUUAAAAGCUUCUUCGGCUGUCCCCAUAGGAUAACACUUUGAAGAACACUUUUUAGCUGCAGGUAGAACCUUUUUGGUUCCAUGUAUAAUCCAUUCUACAGACGGUUCUACAUGGAAUCCAAAAGGGUUCUACCUUGAACUAAAUAGAGUUCUCCUGUGGGGACAGCCGAAGAACUCUUUUGGAACCCUUUUUUCUAAGAGUGCACACCUAGCACACAUAACAGCAACACACAAGGCCUAUCUCCCUUCUAAGUCACUGCUAAUAAAAUAAUAGCUAUUUGAUGUUUGAGAUGAAUCAAAACUGAUGCAAAUACAUUUGCAUUAACAUACAUUUACAAAAUAUAUGGAAAUUAUGGCAUAAUCAAAUGCAUGUAUGGGGGGAAAAUGCAGUGUGCAAUACUCUUGAAGUUCAAAUCAAAUCAAAUCAAAUUUAUUUAUAUAGCCCUUCGUACAUCAGCUGAUAUCUCAAAGUGCUGUACAGAAACCCAGCCUAAAACCCCAAACAGCAAGCAAUGCAGGUGUAGAAGCACGGUGGCUAGGAAAAACUCCCUAGAAAGGCCAAAACCUAGGAAGAAACCUAGAGAGGAACCAGGCUAUGUGGGGUGGCCUGGUUGCUUUGCCAGAUUACCAGUGCGAGGCCCUCCUCUUGGCUCUAUGGUUAGGGGUUGUGAAUGCGAGUGGUCUUUACUGUCUUCCCCAGAAGAUGUGACUGAUGCUGAGGCUGAGGCUGAUGCAGAGCCCCAGACAGGGAUCCUAGAGGUGAUCUAUGAUGACGUGCCCUGUGAGGGACCACUCUCUCCUGACGAAGGUGAGUUCUGGGGUAAGGGCCAGGGCUGGGGCCACUGAGUGCUUUUAUUGUGCCUUGUCUGGUACUGCACCA
rnacentral:lncRNA from 1 species